rnacentral:rRNA from 1 species
GACGAACGCUGGCGGCGUGCUUAACACAUGCAAGUCGAACGGAAAGGCCCUGCUUUUGUGGGGUGCUCGAGUGGCGAACGGGUGAGUAACACGUGAGUAACCUGCCCUUGACUUUGGGAUAACUUCAGGAAACUGGGGCUAAUACCGGAUAGGAGCUCCUGCUGCAUGGUGGGGGUUGGAAAGUUUCGGCGGUUGGGGAUGGACUCGCGGCUUAUCAGCUUGUUGGUGGGGUAGUGGCUUACCAAGGCUUUGUCGGGUAGCCGGCCUGAGAGGGUGACCGGCCACAUUGGGACUGAGAUACGGCCCAGACUCCUACGGGAGGCAGCAGUGGGGAAUAUUGCACAAUGGGCGGAAGCCUGAUACAGCAACGCCGCGUGCGGGAUGACGGCCUUCGGGUUGUAAACCGCUUUCGCCUGUGACGAAGCGUGAGUGACGGUAAUGGGUAAAGAAGCACCGGCUAACUACGUG